rnacentral:snRNA from 1 species
AUACUUUGCAGGGAAAAUACCAUGUUAUAAAAGUGGUUUUCCUACGGGGAGGCAUAUCCAUUGCACUUUGGGUAUGUUGCUGAUCCCUAUGAUUUCCCCAAAUGUGGAGAACUCGACUGUAUAAUUUGUGUUAAUGGGGGAUUACCCGUGUAAUUUCCCU